rnacentral:rRNA from 1 species
GAGUUUGAUCCUGGCUCAGAACAAACGCUGGCGGCGCGUUUUAAGCAUGCAAGUCGGACGGCAAGAGCUGUAGCAAUAUGGCUCCUAGAGUGGCGAACGGGUGAGUAACACGUAGGUGAUCUACCCUUGGGUGGGGGAUAGUCCGUGGAAACACGGGGUAAUACCGCAUGAGGCCUUGUGGGUAAAGCCAUGAGGUGAAAGGUGCAAUUGCACCGUCUGGGGAUGAGCCUGCGGUCCAUUAGGUAGUUGGCGGGGUAAGGGCCCACCAAGCCUGCGAUGGAUAGCCGGCCUGAGAGGGUGUACGGCCACACUGGAACUGAGACACGGUCCAGACUCCUACGGGAGGCAGCAGCUAAGAAUCUUCCGCAAUGGGGGAAACCCUGACGGAGCGACGCCGCGUGGACGAUGGAGGCCGUAAGGUUGUAAAGUCCUUUUCCUGGUGAAGAAUAGCCCGAGGAGUGGAAAGCCUCGGGGAUGACGUUAGCCAGGGAAUAAGCCCCGGCCAAUUACGUGCCAGCAGCCGCGGUAAUACGUAUGGGGCAAGCGUUGUUCGGAGUUAUUGGGCGUAAAGGGCGUGUAGGCGGCUCAUCAAGUCUGGUGUGAAAAUGCAGGGCCCAACCCUGCAGAUGCGCUGGAAACUGGUGGGCUAGAGUUCCUGAGGGGAAGCUGGAAUUCCAGGUGUAGGAGUGAAAUCUGUAGAUAUCUGGAAGAACACCGGUGGCGAAGGCGAGCUUCUAUCAGAGGACUGACGCUGAGGCGCGAAAGCGUGGGGAGCAAACAGGAUUAGAUACCCUGGUAGUCCACGCUGUAAACGAUGUGCACUAGGCGUGGGGCACGUCCGUGCUCUGUGCCGUAGCUAACGUGAUAAGUGCACCGCCUGGGGAGUAUGCUCGCAAGGGUGAAACUCAAAGGAAUUG